rnacentral:rRNA from 1 species
UGGGGAAUUUUGGACAAUGGGCGAAAGCCUGAUCCAGCAAUGCCGCGUGUGUGAAGAAGGCCUUCGGGUUGUAAAGCACUUUUGUCCGGAAAGAAAUCCUUGGCUCUAAUACAGUCGGGGGAUGACGGUACCGGAAGAAUAAGCACCGGCUAACUACGUGCCAGCAGCCGCGGUAAUACGUAGGGUGCAAGCGUUAAUCGGAAUUACUGGGCGUAAAGCGUGCGCAGGCGGUUUGCUAAGACCGAUGUGAAAUCCCCGGGCUCAACCUGGGAACUGCAUUGGUGACUGGCAGGCUAGAGUAUGGCAGAGGGGGGUAGAAUUCCACGUGUAGCAGUGAAAUGCGUAGAGAUGUGGAGGAAUACCGAUGGCGAAGGCAGCCCCCUGGGCCAAUACUGACGCUCAUGCACGAAAGCGUGGGGAGCAAACAGGAUUAGAUACCCUGGUAGUCCACGCCCUAAACGAUGUCAACUAGUUGUGGGGAUUCAUUCCUUAGUAACGUAGCUAACGCGUGAAGUUGACCGCCUGGGGAGUACGGUCGCAAGAUUAAAACUCGAAUGAAUUGACGGGGUCAUAGCUG